rnacentral:rRNA from 1 species
GCACAAGCGGUGGAGUAUGUGGUUUAAUUCGAUGCAACGCGAAGAACCUUACCUGGUCUUGACAUCCCAGAAAUCCCUUGGAAACUGGGAGUGCUUCCAUUAGGAAGAAUCUGGAGACAGGUGCUGCAUGGCUGUCGUCAGCUCGUGUCGUGAGAUGUUGGGUUAAGUCCCGCAACGAGCGCAACCCUUGCCUUUAGUUGCCAGCAGUUCGGCUGGGCACUCUAAAGGGACUGCCGGUGUUAAACCGGAGGAAGGUGGGGAUGACGUCAAGUCCUCAUGGCCUUUAUGACCAGGGCUACACACGUACUACAAUGGCCGAUACAAAGGGCAGCGACACUGCGAGGUGAAGCCAAUCCCGUAAAAUCGGUCUCAGUCCGGAUUGGAGUCUGCAACUCGACUCCAUGAAGUUGGAAUCGCUAGUAAUCGUGGAUCAGCAUGCCACGGUGAAUACGUUCCCGGGCCUU